AACCACGGUUAACCAUACGAUCGCCGAAGUUAAGCAACGUCGAGCAUAAUCAGUACUUGGAUGGGUGAUAGCUUGGGAAUGUCAGGUGCU